rnacentral:lncRNA from 1 species
UCGUGUGACAUGAAACAUUCUUUAACUUCUCAUAAGAUCAUAAUAACUCUUAACACAAACAAACAAGCAUACAUUCAUGUGGAAAAAGAGAACAACACAGAAGAAAAGGAACAUGAAUUAAUGAUAACAGUUACCUACCUUACUCAUCUGCAGAAACUGAAACAAGAACAGACUCUAGUCAGCUGCAAAUUGAGUGAAUUGAAGUACAUCAUAAAGUUGGCAAUUUCUCAAAGGAAGACAACACCAUCUUUAUGUUUAUUAUUACAUUCUACUGCAAGAAAAUAACUAUAACAAUCUACGAAGCACAAACACAGGCACGGGACGCGCCUUCAAUCUAAAGUGUCAGUGCUACAUAGAUAGAGUGAUUGAUACAUAGCCAUUAAGACUCCAAAAAGGAAUCCAUUGCCUUUUUGUGACUUGCCGGUUUGCCAUGCUAUAACAAAAGCUUCUGAUCCUUUGGAGAAAAAUGCUUAAUUAUUUGCUUCUGCUACUCAGAAAAAAGCAUAAUCCCUUUGUGAUAUGAGAAGCCAAAAGCUAAAGCACAAAGCAAACUGUUUAGGAAAAUGGAGGGAGAGUGUGUAGGGUUUUUGUUUAAUACCCUCUCACACUUCUCUCCAUGUUUGUUUUAAGAACCAUGGAUUGAUUUUUGCCAACAAAGAAGCUUCAUCCUUAUUACAAACAAGAUUCAAGUCUUGAUGGAUUGGUUUAGAGGAUGCUUAAAGGGCUCCACAUAGAAAGGUAGUGGGGAAGUUGGUGUCUCUGAUCAUUGUUUUAAAUACUUGUGAUGGUUGAGAAGUAUAUAUGAAAGUGGUGUGUGUAUCAUUCUUUUUCAUUAUCUAAAAUGACUAUUUAACACCAUCAAAAGUUGC